AGUGAACGCUGGCGGUAGGCCUAACACAUGCAAGUCGAACGGCAGCACAGUAAGAGCUUGCUCUUACGGGUGGCGAGUGGCGGACGGGUGAGGAAUACAUCGGCAUCUACUUUUUCGUGGGGGAUAACGUAGGGAAACUUACGCUAAUACCGCAUACGACCUACGGGUGAAAGCAGGGGAUCUUCGGACCUUGCGCGAUUGAAUGAGCCGAUGUCGGAUUAGCUAGUUGGCGGGGUAAAGGCCCACCAAGGCGACGAUCCGUAGCUGGUCUGAGAGGAUGAUCAGCCACACUGGAACUGAGACACGGUCCAGACUCCUACGGGAGGCAGCAGUGGGGAAUAUUGGACAAUGGGCGCAAGCCUGAUCCAGCCAUACCGCGUGGGUGAAGAAGGCCUUCGGGUUGUAAAGCCCUUUUGUUGGGAAAGAAAAGCAGCGGGUUAAUACCCCGCUGUUCUGACGGUACCCAAAGAAUAAGCACCGGCUAACUUCGUG
rnacentral:rRNA from 1 species